CCAUUUUCCAUAAUGAGAGCCUGAACAAUUUCACCUACAUGGUUUAAAUCCUUCAAGGAGCAGGAGGAUUUAGAACCACAGCUGUAUUUCUGUCCGCUUCCCUCACUCCCCCUUAUACACGAGAACCCCAGAGAAGCCCAAAGGAGGGGAGCGGGCAGAUGUCUUCGCUGGACUGCAGCUGCCUGGCAAAGCCCAGCUGAUCAGGUUCCUGCUAUUAUUUCUGCAGGAAUCUGUGCCCUAAAGAGCAAUUCCAAGGCAAGCCUCCAGGCUGGAUCCUGGCCAGGCUUCAUGUUGCAGUGUUAAAGGGGCAAGUUCAGUUCAGGGUGGGGACCUUUUUGCUUUGCUCUGUGUUUAAAUCUGGAGUAUUUUGCACUGCACAACUGUUUGAACCCCCAGGCAUGCUGCAAUGAGAAAAGGAUGAAAUAGAGGAAGGCAGCGGAGAAGUAACAGAAAUUCAGCAGUAAAGUAGCAGAUGGGUUCCAGCAGAGUUCUGCUUUGAUUUAUGUCCAGCCAAGCACAUCAGGCCCAGGUUUGGGGCCCGGAGGAGUCCAAACCAGAAGCUGUCUGAGGAGCUCCUCACCAAGAGAGGAGCAGCUGAAUCACCAGCUCUUCGUGGAUAUUCACAAAGGCGGUGGAGGCUGCGGUGAGGACAGAACAUAAAGCAGAUCUACAGAUGCACAGAGCUCCCUUUCAGAAGCCUUUCAUCUAUCAUAUGAUACUUUCUGGUUAAGUGAUCACCUCUGAUUUGUUGAAUCAGAGUCUUAAUCAUGUCCUUGGCAUCAAGCAAAGGAACUGCUAGCAAUAUUAACAGGGUUAUUCAGGACUGGGGGUGGAAGUCCCCGCUGUUUAAAGCAAGAGUUAGACAGUAUUACCACAUGAUCCCCUCACUCAGACUCUUUGAAGUGUUAUGAAAACAUUUUUAAAGCAAUAUUUGCCACAGGGUAGUCACUCACAUUAUAUCAGUCUUACCCCUCCUCUUUUCAUCUGUGAGCACCUCAUUACCAGUGGAUAAUACUGAUGCUGAAAUACCACUUUCCCUUGGGAACAAAACAAUAACUGUGUGUGUCAUUCGAGAAGGAUCUGCUUGGGCCUUUAUGUGCAGCAAUGCAUGGUUAUAAAGCACUUUUGACAGAAAUGUUUGAUUUUGUCGUGUUCUCAGGUCAAGAAAUACCGGUACAACGUGUGAUCAUUUGUUUCCAGUCAGGGCUCUUGAAUGCACGUUUGUUUGCACAAAAAAGCAAACAUAUCUGCUCACUAAGGCAGAAAAUAAAAUAAAGAUGCCAGUAACUGCAACAACAGUACUGCUACUAUUACUACAUCUCCAUUUGUCCAGAGACAACAAUGAGUAUUUAUUCCAUGAAAUUAAUGACUUGGCUCUGUAUUUUCCUUUCUCUAGAAUAAGAAUUAACAGGGCUUACGUUGUGAUGUGCUUUAUCAGAACAUGACCUCUUCAAAUCAGCUCAAGAAGUCAAAGUAAGUUUAGGUGAAAAAGAACACAAAAGGAAAGGCUGCAAAUGUCAGCAGAUGUGCUGAAAUUACUGUACACAAUGUAGCUGUCGUCAUUUUAGAAGAAUUUCUCAAAUAAAUAUUUCAGAUUUGGGCUUGGCAAAUGAUAUCAUUAGUGGAACGGAGGAGAAAAAACAUGACUAAGACCUACAGAGGUAAGUGAUAAUCCCUAAUCGUGUUCCAGGUAGGGAAUUUCAAUCCUGUUCUCUCCAUCUAAAUAAUAGCUGACUCUUAAACCCCCUGAAACAGACCCUUGUGCCUUACAUUUUGCACUGUGGAGCACUAAAGUUAAAUUCUUUCCCCUUCCUCAGUAAUUACUACAAUCUCAUUUGAGAGUACUUAGACCAAAGAAUAAUCCCUUCCCCACCUUCCUUCCAACCUUGCAGGGUGUGCAGCCAAGCCCUGGCCUUCUCCAUCAUCAGGGCCACCUGUGCAUUCAUCUCCAACAACAACAGAGCACCCUUCACUGCUCUAAAUAUUCCAUUUUUGGAAAGUAAUUUCUCCAACUCUUACAACUGCUCAUUUUUUUGCUUUGAUUUUGAGAUCAGUGAGUUUCAGUAAAAUACGAAGGGAACAUCCAGAUACAAAUGCAGUCCAAGCCUAUUUUCAAAAUGGAGAUACUCUUCCACAAGAGAACGGGACUUUUCAUGCUGUCCCCUGUCCUGGCUCCAUCUCCCAGAACACACGCAAAACAGCCUCCAAAGGACACUGUCCAACACAUCCAAGCCAAAAGGGUGAAGGUCACCCACUGAGGCAACCAAAGGAGGAUAAUGGCGGAGUGGAACAAUCUGAACCCAAGGGGAAAAAGAGAAGCCACAGCAGAUGAAAAGCAUGCUCCUGCUGCCACAGUACCAUGGAAAAAGAGGACACUGGGAUACUUUGGUCCACUGACUUCCCAAGCACUCCGCUGCCACACAUCUGUUCAUGCAUCACUGUUGGAAAGCAUACCUAAGGAUGGCAGAAUUUCUGGCAUGUUUCCGAGGAACCAUAAAACAAAUGGACUGAGAAUUCUUUGAAUCACAUCCAACAAUGUGGAUAUCUUCUAGCCUCAUCGGUGAUAUCUCUGCAGUACUGGAUGCGCUCCCAAAGUCCUGCCUGAACAUAUUCCACAUUGAAUUGUGCAGGACUUAGGAGGGGUUCUCUGAACGCUGUCUCUCCUCUGCGCCUUCGCUGGGAAAGCAUACAAGCAUUCCCAGGGUGUUACACAACUUUGCCGCAGGUAAAGCAUGAGAUACCAAGUGAGAAUGCUAAUUAGAAAAAAUUCAAAACCGAAUGACCUUCCCUCAGCACUAACAUGCCG
ensembl:lncRNA